rnacentral:rRNA from 1 species
GAGACAGCAGUCGCCGCGGGAAUACGUAGGUGGCAAGCGUUGUCCGGAAUUAUUGGGCGUAAAGCGCGCGCAGGCGGCCUAUCCAGUCUGUAUUAAAAGUUCGGGGCUCAACCCCGUGAUGGGAUGGAAACUAGUAGGCUAGAGUAUCGGAGAGGAAAGCGGAAUUCCUAGUGUAGCGGUGAAAUGCGUAGAUAUUAGGAAGAACACCAGUGGCGAAGGCGGCUUUCUGGACGAAAACUGACGCUGAGGCGCGAAAGCCAGGGGAGCGAACGGGAUUAGAUACCCCUGUAGUCCCUGUCUCUUAUACA